GCGGCCCUCCUGGGGCCUUUAUUUUCUGCUCCUUUCUCUGGGGUUUUCUGAGCAUUGAUGGUGGGUCCUCAGGACGUGGCCCCCAGGGUCUGGCUGGCCGGGAGGGGACUAGGACUGGGGGCCUGAGGGAAGUCAGAGCCUCUUGAUUGCCUGAUGCCUUUCUGAAACCAGAGUAAUGCCGUCAUGCCCAGGGGAAUCGCUGACCCUUGGGAGGGGCUGGGGGCUGGACCCCCAGGGCCACAGGACUGUGGGACUGUUGGUAUGGGCUAAGGAGUGUGCAGGGCUUGUGUGUGUGCAGAUCCAUGAGAAUGCCACUUGUAGAGCGCGCGGUGAGAGACUUCCCGCAGAAUCACGGGUGAUGUUUUGUGCUAGGCUGUGCCUAUGAGACUCGUCUGGGUGAGGAGGGAUGCUUGGUCUGCCCAGUGUGGGCCCCAGGGUGGGGCUGGGGGCUGCAGGGUUCGGCUCCCGCUGGGCAGCAUCUAAGACCAAGGGGUCUGCUCCUCCUAAGUGCUAUGCCUACUAACUAAUGAAGGACAGGACAUCUUUGAAGUGGCUCCUGAGGGGGAAAAAUAUAUAGGAAAUCUGAGUUUAAAAUGUGAGAGAUUGUCAAGUAUAUGAGACUUUUUAAUUGUAUCAGUUGAAUCUUAUGUUUCGGGAGUUGAUAUAAGAAAUAGUGACACGGUGCUGUCCUGUCCGGCUGCGAGACUUGAGUUUUGACCACCAUAAAUUAAGUUUAUUAAUUUUUUAAAAUUAAUUUGGAGAUUCUGGAAGCGGUGGUGCUGGGUUUCGCUGAGCCGCGGCGUGGAGCCAAGCACCUGCAGGUGGCAGGAAGCGGGUCACAUGGGCUGUCUAUUUUAGGAAGCAAGAAAACACACUUGGCAAAUUUAUAGUUUGUGGUUAUGCAGCCAUGGUUUUCGGGUUGUUUUGCCCAGCCCAGCGAAGCUAAACGGGGCCACAGUGCAAAACAACACCUGUGCAAUUUGCAUUUCUAAAAUAAGACCGCGAUGCUGGCAGAAGCUGGGAAGCUUUCCUUUUUUUAACUACUUGAAUCUAAUUUUUCAGUCUUAGCUCAUUAUGCCCAUUUCCAAAGAAAGAUGUCUAAGAAAUUAUACUGUCUUCAGGACAGUUGAUCAACAUGUUUGUGUAACGGGUUUUUUGUUUAUUUAUUUAUUUUUUAUUAUUUUUAAAUUAUUUUUUUUAAUUGGAGUUCAAUUUGCCAACAUAUAGCAUAUCACCCAGUGCUCAUCCCAUCAAGUCUGUAACAGAUUUUAAUUGGUUUUUCCUGCCGGUGGUCGUUAACCCGAGCCCAUUCUCUAGAGCCCAGAAGCACCGUUUCCACAAUCACUGUGUUUGCAGAUUUUUAAGCUAGAUUUUCUGUUUGUGAUUAAGAGGCACUUGGAUAGGCUGAUAAAGUGGCCUUGGGCUCAGCUUUUCAAGCCUUCCUGUUGGGACAAAUCUUAGGUGAAACGUGCCUGAUUGUCUCAAAUGAUCUCAGCAAAGCGUGUUGCUUGUUGGAGGGAGAGGAAGCCUAGUCAGGUCUUGAGUCAGAAGGGAGCUGUGCUGGCUCUCAGGCCGCAGGAGCCCCCCAGGCCUGCUGUGGCUGGGGUCCCCCGGGCCCGCCAUGGCUGGGGGCAGGCCAGCGUGGCUUCUGCCACUAGGCCCACCGGCUACCCAUCGACCAACCAAUUUUAAUGGACUUGGAGGAAGUCUUCAAAGCCUGCACGGUGACCAGGGAGCUGAACUGCCUCCAGAGAAUCGUCACUUCUGCUCCCCUUGGUCUCAGGAUGUAAGGUCCCAAAAAAUGGUGAGGACAUAACCCUGGCCUGCUUGGCAAAAGGACCCUUCCUAGAUUCUGUGCGGGUCACGACAGGCCCAGAGUCACAGGCCCAGAUGGAAAAGACCACACUGAAGAUGCUAAAGAUACCGGACCACACUCAGGUGUCUCUCCUGUCCACCCCCUGGAAACCAGGCCUGCACUACUGCGAAGCCAUCAGGAAAGAUAACAAAGAGAAGCUGAAGAAAGCCAUCCACUGGCCAGCAUCCUGGGAAACUGCUAUCUCCCUGUUGACUCAUGCGCCAUCCCGACCCCAGGACCACACCCAAGCCCCCAGCAUGGCCAGGGUCUCAGUGCCUCCCACCAGCCACACCCAGACGCAAGCCCAGGAGCCAGGAUGCCCAGUGGACACCAUCCUCAGAGAGUGUUGGAACCACACCCACCCUCCCAGCCUCUACAUGCUGCGCCCUCCCCUGCGGGGACCAUGGCUCCAGGGAGAAGCUGCUUUCACCUGCCUGGUGGUGGGAGAUGACCUUCAGAAGGCCCACCUGUCCUGGGAGGUAGCCGGGGCGCCCCCCAGCGAGGCUGUGGAGGAGAGGCCACUGCAGGAGCAUGAGAAUGGCUCCCAGAGCUGGAGCAGCCGCCUGGUCUUGCCCAUAUCCCUGUGGGCCUCAGGAGCCAACAUCACCUGCACGCUGAGCCUCCCCAGCAUGCCUUCCCAGGUGGUGUCCGCAGCAGCCAGAGAGCAUGCUGCCAGAGCACCCAGCAGCCUCAAUGUCCAUGCCCUGACCAUGCCCAGAGCAGCCUCCUGGUUCCUGUGCGAGGUGUCCGGCUUCUCACCCCCUGACAUCCUCCUCACCUGGAUCAAGGACCAGAUUGAGGUGGACCCUUCUUGGUUCGCCACUGCACCCCCCAUGGCCCAGCCGGGCAGUGGCACGUUCCAGACCUGGAGUCUCCUGCGUGUCCUCGCUCCCCAGGGCCCUCACCCGCCCACCUACACGUGUGUAGUCAGGCACGAGGCCUCCCGGAAGCUGCUCAACACCAGCUGGAGCCUGGACAGUGGUCUGACCAUGACCCCCCCAGCCCCCCAGAGCCACGACGAGAGCAGCGGGGACUCCAUGGAUCUGGAAGAUGCCAGCGGACUGUGGCCCACGUUCGCUGCCCUCUUCGUCCUCACUCUGCUCUACAGCGGCUUCGUCACCUUCCUCAAAGUGAAGUAACCCCAGGAGAGUAGACACCUGGCACCCUCAGAGAAGGGAGGCCCAGCCUGCAUGCUGUCGCCGAGGACAGAGAGGCCUGGCCUGGACUCCGGGACCACCUCUGCUCAACCCCUGCCUACCUCUGUCUACCUCUGUCCAGAGUUCAGCCACCAGAUGCAGAGAGGAGGGCAUCCCACCCUGCAUGUCCCUGAGCCAGCCGUCCUGACGGCAGCCCCUUGCCUUUUUGCUCCAUAAACAACCUUGCUACUGGGUGUUAUGCUAUAUAUUGGCAAAUUGAACUCCAAUAAAAUAAAUAAUAAUAAUAAUAAUAAAUAAUUUUUUAAAAAAA